GAUAGUGAAUAGUAGCACUCCACUCCACUCCAUCCAGAGGUGGAUAAGUCCAAAAUAUAUAUUCAAUUGAAACUUUGUCAUUCUCUUUAUUGGGCUUUGUAAAAUGUCAUGUCACUCAGAAAUGUUUCUGCUCUCAAAAUAUUUCAUUAAUUAGCCGUUAAAUAGAAUUCUACGAAAUUGACCCAGAAUCGCAUAUGAAAAUGUAUGAAUCAUUAUGCUAUUUUUCAGUUGACAAUGUUUUUAAAACCAUUCAUGCUGUCAGAAUUAUUUUACUUUGUAUUGAAAGAAUACAUAUAACUUCCGAUUCAAUUAUAUUUUUGUAGAGUUGUUGAGUACAGCUCCAUAGCAACUGUUGUCAGGGUAACGGGUAUUAUCUCAGAACAGCAAACGUUUGAUGUUGCAAUUGCUAUUACCUUGCUAAAUACAAUUAUCAAAUUGUUAUAUCAAUAUAUAAAAAGUUCGUAAUGUUUAAUUAUUUUUUUAUUAAACUUUGAAAUUUAGCAAAAAUUCAUAUUUUUCAAAUUUUGACAGGAAACAAUUUGGUACAUUUACCAAAAGAAAUCAACUAAUCAUUGAAUAUUCCACAAGAAAUUAUUAUCUAAGUAUUCAAGAGAUUUGCAAUAUCGACCUGCUGAACUAGCACGUACCUUCCUAAAAACUGGAUGUUUUGAAGUAAAAUGCUAAGUAUAUAGCCACUGUACAUGCUUCAUACAUUCAUGCUUUUGGGGGGCCUAGAUUACUCACCAAUAACUUAAAAGCUUGCAGAUUUUCAUGUACAAAAUCCUAUUAUAUUUCUUUUUCUUAUGUACUGAAGUAAAAUAUGCUGAGUCGUCAAAAUUAUACUUUUCAGUAAAUGUGCGAUUACCUUUCAAAAUAAAAAAAUAAAGCGAGAAAGUCAAGAGGUCAAGCAUUUACUUCUUCAGUGUUGACUUUCUAUGCUUUAAUCAAAGCAUAAAAGGAAUAUUCCCCAUCACAAACAAAACACAGACACCUUAUUGGAAGUAUGAAUCAAGUACUUUUAAGAAGAAGAAGAAAAAGAGGAAGAAGAAGAAAUGUUUAUUACAUAGUGUCACGCAUA